GGGUCAGUAGGUUGGUCGUGCCACCGGUACGUACUGGUCUCACUGAUUCCUCCUUCCUGAAGAACCGUAAUGCCAUUAAUUUGGUGUUGCGGGGGAAACAGGACUGUUACUUUGAAAAAAUUAGAGUGUUUAAAGCAAGCUGACGCUUGAAUACAUUAGCAUGGAAUAAUGAAAUAGGACGAUCGAUCCUAUUUUGUUGGUUUCUAGGAUUGACGUA
rnacentral:rRNA from 1 species